rnacentral:misc_RNA from 1 species
GAUGAAGAACGUAGCGAAAUGCGAAAAGUAGUGUGAAUUGCAGAAUUCAGUGAAUCAUCGAGUCUUUGAACGCACAUUGCGCCCCCUGGUAUUCCGGGGGGCAUGCCUGUCCGAGCGUCAUUGCUGCCCUCAAGCACGGCUUGUGUGUUGGGCCUCCGUCCUCCUCCCGGGGGACGGGCCCGAAAGGCAGCGGCGGCACCGCGUCCGGUCCUCGAGCGUAUGGGGCUUCGUCACCCGCUCUUGUAGGCCCGGCCGGCGCUUGCCGACACAUCAAUCUUUUUUCCAGGUUGACCUCGGAUCAGGUAGGGAUACCCGCUGAACUUAAGCAUAUCAAUAAGCGGAGGA